UCCCUACUCGGUACUAUUUUAGAGUGACACACAUUCAAAAUGUCGACCAAAACAGAACCAGUGUGCCAAAUAUUCACAUUUCGGGACUGCAAAACAUCCCCCGACCCGAUUUAUGAGAUCCCUGCCCAGUGUUUACAUCCAUCCCCGGUCCCGUUAGUGAUCGAUAACGGCUCCUUCCACACCCGGGCCGGCUGGGCGUGCAAAGGGGAUGAACUGGGCUCCCCGAGGCUGCUCUUCAGGUCCGUGGCUGCGAGGAGCCGAGGAGCCGCUCGGAGCGAAACCCAGAUCGGAAACGACAUCUCCAGCAUUGAACCUCUGCGAUGGCUCCUCAAGAGCCAGUUCGAUAGGAACGUGGUGGUCAACUUCGAAAUCCAGGAGCUGAUAUUCGAUCACAUAUUCACGCACAUGGGCAUCACAUCAGAGGCCAAGGUGGAGCAUCCCGUGGUGGUGACGGAGGCUCCGUGCAACCCGCUGCAUUGUCGUCAGAUGAUGUCCGAGCUGCUGUUUGAGUGCUACCAGGUGCCCCACGUCUCCUACGGCGUGGACGCCCUGUACAGCUUCAACAGCAACAACGCUCAGCGGGGCCUAGAGGGUCCUCAGACCGGCAUCGUCCUUUCCUCCGGAUACCACUGCUCACACAUCCUCCCUGUGAUCAACGGAAGGCUGGACGCGGGGAACGCUCAGCGUGUGAACGUGGGCGGCAGCCAGGCUGCGUCGUACCUGCUGCGGCUGCUGCAGCUCAAGUACCCGGGUCACCUGGCGGCCGUGACGCUCAGUCGCAUGGAGGAGCUGCUGCACGAGCACAGCUACACGGCCGUGGACUACCACAAAGAGCUGGAGCGCUGGCGCAGCCCCGACUUCUACGAGCGCGAGGUCCACCGCAUGCAGCUGCCCUUCUCGGCCAAGGCGGCCCCCGGGGCCUGCGCCAGCGCCGAGGAGCGGCAGGAGCGCCGCGCGCAGCAGCUGCGGCGGCUGCAGGAGAACAACGCGCGGCGCCGCGAGGAGAAGCUGCAGCACGACCAGGAGCGGCUGGACAAGCUGCUGGCCGUGCAGGAGCUGCUGGACGACGGCCUUCUGGAGCCGUUCCACAAGAACCUGGUGGAGCUCAACAUGGACUCGGCGGAGGAGCUCCAGUCCUACGUCACCAAGCUGCAGCUGGCGGUGGAGCAGGGCCGGCUGCGGCUGCUGGGGGGCGACGGCGCCGAGGGGAGGGCCGAGGGGUCCGAGCUGGACCCGCAGAUGGAUGAGGGGGACGGCGUGGCCCUCAUGGACCCGGACCUCCCCCCGGACAACGCCCUGAUGGACAAGUCCGCCAGCGUUCAGCCCCAGUUCAACAUGGCCGAGUACCACCAGCUGUUUGUGGGGACGGAGCGCCUGCGCUGCCCGGAGAUCGUGUUCCAGCCCUCGCUGACGGGCGAGGACCAGAUGGGCGUCAUGGAGACCCUGCAGCACGUCCUGGCCAGGUACACUCCAUCGCAGCAGGAGGCGCUGGUGAGCAACGUGUUCCUGACCGGAGGGAACAUGCUGUACCCAGGCAUGAAGGAGAGAGUGGAGAGAGAGCUGCUGGCUAUGAGACCCUUCCAGUCCCACUACAAGGUGACCCUGGCCGCCCGGCCGGCGUUGGACGCGUGGUACGGGGCCCGGGACUGGGCCCUGGGGGGCCCGCCCAGCGGGGGGGGGGGGCCGGUGGAGGGCUGGGUCAGCAGGCGGGACUACGAGGAGAAGGGCGGCGACUACCUCAGCGAACACCGCGCCUCCAACGCCUUCGUCUCCAUGAGGAUCGCCAAGCCCGCCCCCUCCGUCCCCCGCCCCGCCGAACCCGCCGUCGCCACGGCGACCGGGGACACGCCCACAGCCGCGGUGGUGCCGGGAGGACCGGCCGUCCCUGCCGCCUCCGUUCCCGCCUCUGUGGAGGCUGAGGCUGAGAUGGUCACGUCCUAGGACGACUAAAUAGAGCAGAUCUAUGUGAUGGACGUCUAAAUAGAGCAGAUCUAUGUGAUGGACGUCUAAAUAGAGCAGAUCUAUGUGAUGGACGUCUAAAUAGAGCAGAUCUAUGUGAUGGACGUCUAAAUAGAGCAGAUCUGUGUGAUGGACGUCUAAAUAGAGCAGAUCUAUGUGAUGGACGUCUAAAUAGAGCAGAUCUAUGAGAUGGACGUCUAAAUAGAGCAGAUCUAUGUGAUGGACGUCUAAAUAGAGCAGAUCUAUGUGAUGGACGUUUAAAUAGAGCAGAUCUAUCUGAUGGAUGUUUAAAUAGCUGACGCCAUUCAUAUUGAAUUGGUUCUUAAUAUGUACAUUGAUAUUUUUGUUGGCGUGUUUAAUACUUCUUUUUUAAUUUGACGGUGCUGAAGUUGGGUGGCUUCACCUCAUUCCAAGUCCAGACUCAAGUCACUCCCUGAGGCUCCUUGCUCAUGUUCUGGGUAGCAAUAGGUUUUGUAGUCAAGGGUAGGCAGUGAUCGAUUGAAUAUAUAUAUAUCUUUAUUUUUUUUUCAAAAAGUAACAAUAAAAAAUAUACAAAUAUAUAUAUACACAUUUAUUUAGGAUGCUCAAAAGAGAAUUUUCAUUCAGUACCCUAAACGGUACAGUCUCUUCCCACCAGGGGCGUACUAGGUCCUUGAACAAACCUACAUAAGGCAAGGCAACUACAUGAGGUCGACUCAAAGUGCUUCACCUAGAAACAUCGUCAUACAAUAAAAUCAAAUAAAAGAAAAUAGAUUAAAAAAA